UACGAAGGGGACUAGCGUUGUUCGGAAUCACUGGGCGUAAAGCGCACGUAGGCGGAUUCGUAAGUCAGGGGUGAAAUCCCGGGGCUCAACCUCGGAACUGCCUUUGAUACUGCGGGUCUUGAGUCCGAUAGAGGUGGGUGGAAUUCCUAGUGUAGAGGUGAAAUUCGUAGAUAUUGGGAAGAACACCGGUGGCGAAGGCGGCCAUCUGGACCGGCACUGACGCUGAGGCGCGAAAGCGUGGGGAGCAAACAGG
rnacentral:rRNA from 1 species